rnacentral:miRNA from 1 species
AACCCGUAGUUUCGAACAUGUG